rnacentral:rRNA from 1 species
UACGAAGGGGGCUAGCGUUGUUCGGAAUCACUGGGCGUAAAGGGCGCGUAGGCGGGCUCCUCAGUCGAAGGUGAAAUCCUGUGGCUCAACCACAGAACGGCCUUCGAUACUGGGAGCCUCGAGUUCGAGAGAGGUUGGUGGAACUGCGAGUGUAGAGGUGAAAUUCGUAGAUAUUCGCAAGAACACCAGUGGCGAAGGCGGCCAACUGGCUCGAUACUGACGCUGAGGCGCGAAAGCGUGGGGAG